rnacentral:rRNA from 1 species
GACAUCUGAAGUGAAUCAAAGGUUUACCGCUAAGGGAUGGGGAUGCGUCUGAUUAGGCAGCAGGCGGGGUAACGGCCCACCUGGCCGACGAUCAGUAGGGGUUCUGAGAGGAAGGUCCCCCACAUUGGAACUGAGACACGGUCCAAACUCCUACGGGAGGCAGCAGUGAGGAAUAUUGGUCAAUGGUCGAGAGACUGAACCAGCCAAGUAGCGUGCAGGAUGACGGCCCUAUGGGUUGUAAACUGCUUUUAUGCGGGGAUAAAGUGAGGGACGUGUCCCUUUUUGUAGGUACCGCAUGAAUAAGGACCGGCUAAUUCCGUGCCAGCAGCCGCGGUAAUACGGAAGGUCCGGGCGUUAUCCGGAUUUAUUGGGUUUAAAGGGAGCGCAGGCGGAGGCUUAAGCGUGACGUGAAAUGUAGCCGCUCAACGGCUGAGUUGCGUCGCGAACUGGGUUUCUUGAGUGAGUGCGACGUCAGCGGAAUUCGUGGUGUAGCGGUGAAAUGCUUAGAUAUCACGAAGAACCCCGAUUGCGAAGGCAGCUGACGAGCCCUUUACUGACGCUAAAGCUCGAAGGUGCGGGU